UGUGUGUGUGUGUGUGUGUGUGUGUGUGUGUGUGUGUGUGUGUGUGAGUAUGCUUGUUAAGAGACAGCUGUUUUAUAAAUUGAGGCUGGUCUUGAACUCAGGAUACCCCUGUAGCAGCCUUCUGAGAACCAGGUUUUUAGACAGGGACCAUCAUAUCCAGUUUGCUGUCUCUUCUCAUAAGAAAAUCUUAAAAGUUCCAAAGAAUUAGGAUGCCACUCCUGUAAUCCCAUUUAUUCUGAUUAAACUCUUGUUUUGUUUUGUUUUCCGAGACAGGGUUUCUCUGUGUAGCUCUGGCUGUCCUGGAACUCACUCUUUAGACCAGGCUGGCCUCGAACUCAGAAAUCUGUCUGCUUUUGCCUCCAGAAAUGUCUUAAAGUCAGCAGCCUCACCAAGAGUAAGUUGUUUUGUUUGUUUUCCUCUCACACAGAAACUUCAUUUCAAAGGGUAUAGAAGAGAAUUCUUGGAUCCAUCAAACAAGGCCCAUCAUUCAGUGUUUUCAUGUUUCUGUAUCACAUUCACCUGAAGCCCUGACAGUGUUCAUCACAGGCUCCCAGAGGCAGGAGAGGCCGUUAUGUACCGCCUCAACCCUUUACCUGAAGGAGAAUCUUUCUUAGAAUAUGUAUGACUUCAAACAAUCACAGAACCUUCAUACCGGUGACAAACACUUACAGGUUCUCUAUGGUUCCAGAGCAGCAGUUAUUCCCAGCAAAUGGAGUCUGAAUGUGAAAAACAGCCAUCUUCCUCCUUAUGGAUCACAGUGGCUUCCUGCCUGGGCCAGUGAUCUUGCCAAGAUCUGGCCCCCCUUCAUCAGGUCAGCCUCCAGGAAUCAAUGGGAGUCUCUGACAAGGAAAAGUCACACAACAGAAAUGAAUGCCACCAGACCACCGCACCAGCUCAGUGUGGUGCUGAAUAAUCCAUCUGCCUGGAUUAGGUGGAGAGCAUCAGUUUUUCUGCUUUCACAGUGCACACUUGAGUAGGCGUGAGUAACCAACUUGUACAUCAUCCUGAGGAAGCAGGUCCAUCAUGAUGGCAGUUACCUACCUAAACACCUCUAUCCUGUCAGGUUAGAAAUGCCAGUCCAAGUUGUUCCUGGAUAGCCAGUCUAAGACAAGUGUUCCAAACUCUAAUUCACUCAUCUUGAAUCUCAUAUUCACCUAGAAGCCCAUGUAAUCAUCUUGCAAUGGAAGUUAGAUCAUAUCUGUAAUCGCUCCCCAGCUCAGAAUCUUCACAGUCCUGACAUCACACUUAGAACAAAGGGUCAGAAGACUGUGCAGAGCUGGGCUCCUGUCUCUGUGACAUCAGCUCAUGGUCUGCUUGCUUCCUUUUCAAUCUCAUCCUCAUCGUCCAUAGUAACAUGGUCACGAUUUCCUUUCUAAACAAUCCGUCUCUGGUCUCAGAAGCCCCAAAUGCUAUCCCUCCUGCUCUAUGUCUACAUACCAACCCUUUUCUGAAAUGAGGCCAGAUCAUUAUGAAGUGCUCAGGCAGUCUUAUCCCAUUAAAUUGGCACAUUCAGGAGGACAGUUAAUUUGUAUUCUUUGCAUAAUGCCCCAACACUUAGCACAGAGCCGGACACUGGAGAGGGAUCUGAAUAUCUGUUUAUUGAUUAAAUAAAUGUUUGG
ensembl:lncRNA